rnacentral:misc_RNA from 1 species
AAGUCGUAACAAGGUUUCCGUAGGUGAACCUGCGGAAGGAUCAUUAAAAAAUUGAGGUAUUCGUACCUCUUUGUAUUUAAAACCUUACUCUAUAAAACCUAAAAUUUAUAUAUAAAAUAAAUGAAAAACUUUCAACAAUGGAUCUCUUGGCUCUC